rnacentral:tRNA from 1 species
GCGGUUGUGGCGGAAUGGCAGACGCGCUAGGUUGAGGGCCUAGUGGGGGCGACCCCGUGGAGGUUCAAGUCCUCUCAGCCGCACCA